rnacentral:rRNA from 1 species
GACGAACCGUGCAAACGUUGUUCGGAAUCACUGGGCUUAAAGGGCGCGUAGGCGGGCAGGCAAGUCGAAGGUGAAAUCCCACGGCUCAACCGUGGAAGUGCCCCCGAUACUGCCUGUCUCGAGGGACGUAGGGGGACCUGGAACUUCCGGUGGAGCGGUGAAAUGCGUUGAGAUCGGAAGGAACGCCCGUGGCGAAAGCGAGGUCCUGGACGUCUACUGACGCUGAGACGCGAAAGCUAGGGGAGCAAACGGG